UACGAAGGGGGCUAGCGUUGCUCGGAAUCACUGGGCGUAAAGCGCACGUAGGCGGAUUGCUAAGUCAGGGGUGAAAUCCUGGAGCUCAACUCCAGAACUGCCUUUGAUACUGGCGACCUUGAGUCCGGGAGAGGUGAGUGGAAUUCCCAGUGUAGCGGUGAAAUGCGUAGAUAUUGGGAGGAACACCAGUGGCGAAGACGGCUCACUGGACCGGUUCUGACGCUGAGGCGCGAAAGCGUGGGGAGCAAACGGG
rnacentral:rRNA from 1 species